CCUUCCUCCACGCCUGCAGCGUGCUGUGUGCGAGACUGCGUCGCCUGGCGUCGAGCUACGGAGGAUGAAAUUGAAGAACAAUUUGAAGUGAAAUGUAAUCCAGCAGAAGAUGGUAAAACCACCAUAAAGAAUAUGAAGUAGGUCUUCAUGGUUUCUAUUUAAAGACAGGGCCUAAAGAGACACAUGUAAGGAACUUUGCUCUGCCUCCCUUCUGCUUUCUCAUUGGUCAGUGGAGAGAGGAAUUAUUGUGCAGAAGAAUCUGAAAUGGGAGCCUGAGAAGAUGCUGUUGCGUAAGAUGUUUCUGGGACUCCAAGCCUACAUGCUCAUUGGGGAACAGCAUGAGGAGGAGAGAAAUUGUUCAAGCUAACUAUCUCCUGGAAAGAAAGAAAUCAUGGCACAUCCAGCUCCCCUCACCUGCCUAGAAUCCAGGGGAAAUGCAGUGGUCCUCAUCUUUUCUGGCUCUCCACAGAAGGAAUGUGGUUAGGAGCACAAGAAUUGUUCCUCUACACAGACCCGCGCUGUAUGUGUAUCACUGUGUACGUGCACAUACUUUGGCUUUAUAAAAGCUUGCUUCUUUCAUACACAUUCCCUUGUCCUCAUUCUUUGCUCUGUGCCAUCUUUCAUCAUUCAAGAUGAUAAAUGCCACUUCACUGCCUCUUUUCAACACCUAUGUUUGCAUUUAGUACUCAGAAGAAUAGAAAGAACAUUCUGCAAGGGACAAGUGGACAACAGGAUGGUGUGCUGCCUUUCUGGAGCCAGAACAUGAGAUGCCACGCUAAGAUUGAAUAGGCUUCUGAAGUUCAUGGGCAAGGACCCAUUGGUGAUGGUUCAUAUUGGCAGUAAUGAUUUGAUCCCAGUCUGUAAGUACCUACAUGGAAAACAAAUAUUUGAUGACCCCAUU